rnacentral:rRNA from 1 species
UAGGGAAUCUUCGGCAAUGGACGAAAGUCUGACCGAGCAACGCCGCGUGAGUGAAGAAGGUUUUCGGAUCGUAAAACUCUGUUGUUAGAGAAGAACAAGGACGUUAGUAACUGAACGUCCCCUGACGGUAUCUAACCAGAAAGCCACGGCUAACUACGUGCCAGCAGCCGCGGUAAUACGUAGGUGGCAAGCGUUGUCCAGAUUUAUUGGGCGUAAAGCGAGCGCAGGCGGUUUCUUAAGUCUGAUGUGAAAGCCCCCGGCUCAACCGGGGAGGGUCAUUGGAAACUGGGAGACUUGAGUGCAGAAGAGGAGAGUGGAAUUCCAUGUGUAGCGGUGAAAUGCGUAGAAAUAUGGAGGAACACCAGUGGCGAAGGCGGCUCUCUGGUCUGUAACUGACGCUGAGGCUCGAAAGCGUGGGGAGCAAACAGG